CAAAAACAUAGCCUAUAGCAAUGCAAGUAUUAUAGGUGUGACCUGCCCAGUGAAUUGUAUUUUAACGGCCGCGGUAUCCUAACCGUGCAAAGGUAGCGUAAUCACUCGUCCCCUAAAUAGGGACCAGUAUGAAUGGUUCAAUGAGGGUUUACCUGUCUCCUGCACUUGAUCAAUGAAACUAAUCUCCUGGUUCAAAAGCCAGGAUAGCAGCAUAAGACGAGAAGACCCUGUGGAGCUUCAAACUAAUAAUUACCUGCGCUAAUUACCAGUUUUAAGUUGGGGCAACUCUGGAAAAAAAAUAACCUCCAAUAUGGCAGGCACUCGCCCUAAACCAAGGUUAACACACCAAAGCUAGGCCAUGACCCAGUAAUACUGAUCAACGAACCAAGUUACCCCAGGGAUAACAGCGCUAUCUUCCUCUAGAGUCCCUAUCGACAGGAAGGAUUACGACCUCGAUGUUGGAUCAGGACAUCCAAGUGGUGCAGCCGCCACUAAGGGUUCGUUCGUUCAACGAUUAAAGUCCUACGUGAUCUGAGUU
rnacentral:rRNA from 1 species